rnacentral:rRNA from 1 species
CCUACGGGUGGCAGCAGUGAGGAAUAUUGGUCAAUGGACGAGAGUCUGAACCAGCCAAGUAGCGUGAAGGAUGACUGCCCUAUGGGUUGUAAACUUCUUUUAUAAAGGAAUAAAACGAGGCACGUGUGCCUUUUUGCAUGUACUUUAUGAAUAAGGAUCGGCUAACUCCGUGCCAGCAGCCGCGGUAAUACGGAGGAUCCGAGCGUUAUCCGGAUUUAUUGGGUUUAAAGGGAGCGUAGAUGGGUUGUUAAGUCAGUUGUGAAAGUUUGCGGCUCAACCGUAAAAUUGCAAUUGAUACUGGCAGUCGUGAGUACAGUGGAGGUAGGCGGAAUUCGUGGUGUAGCGGUGAAAUGCUUAGAUAUCACGAAGAACCCCGAUUGCGAAGGCAGCUUACUAAACUGUGACUGACAUUGAUGCUCGAAAGUGUGGGUAUCAAACAGGAUUAGAUACCCGAGUAGUC